rnacentral:rRNA from 1 species
UACGGAGGGUGCAAGCGUUAUCCGGAUUUACUGGGCUUAAAGGGUGCGUAGGUGGGCCUGUAAGUCAGUGGUGAAAUCUUCAAGCUUAACUUGGAAACUGCCAUUGAUACUAUAGGUCUUGAAUUAUCUGGAGGUAAGCGGAAUAUGUCAUGUAGCGGUGAAAUGCUUAGAGAUGACAUAGAACACCCAUUGCGAAGGCAGCUUACUACGGAUUGAUUGACACUGAGGCACGAAAGCGUGGGGAUCAAACAGG